rnacentral:antisense_RNA from 1 species
CUUCAGCGAGCCGAGCAGCAGCGGCUCGUCGCGGCCCUGCCCGUAGGUGGCGAUGAUCGCCUGCGCCUC